UGAGGAACAUGACCUUCGGCGGGGGAUAGCCGGCCCAACGGCCGGGUAAUACCGCGUACGACCACUUUGGGACAUCCCUAGGUGGUGAAAGCAGCAAUGCGCCGAUGGAGUGCCUCGCGGCCUAUCAGCUAGUUGGUGAGGUAACGGCUCACCAAGGCGACGACGGGUAGCUGGUCUGAGAGGAUGGCCAGCCACAUUGGGACUGAGACACGGCCCAGACUCCUACGGGAGCAG
rnacentral:rRNA from 1 species